rnacentral:rRNA from 1 species
GACUACAUGAAGCUGGAAUCGCUAGUAAUCGCGAAUCAGAAUGUCGCGGUGAAUACGUUCCCGGGUCUUGUACACACCGCCCGUCACACCAUGGGAGUCAGUAACGCCCGAAGUCAGUGACCCAACCCACAUCAGUGAGCAUGACGAGAGCUUGCAGGGGAAUGAAAUGAGCCUGCAAGAUCCGAUGAAGAAAUAUGUCACGAGUCGAAAGAAAGACUCGAGUCGUGCUUAGUGAUGUGGGAGGGAGCUGCCGAAGGCGGGACCGAUAACUGGGGUGAAGUCGUAACAAGGUAGCCGUAUCGGAAGGUGCGGCUGGAUCACCUCCUUU